UGUAACAACCCAGGACCUCAUCCAAAAUGGCUAGUCAUAAGUUAUUAUUUGGGUUCCUUGAUCCUGUAUAAGUACCCAAGAUCUACCCAGCGAAUAACCGAUGUGGGACUAAACACACGCCCGCACGGGUCCUCACAUAUACUAUCUACUAGAAAAGCUAUAAGAAGUAAUCCAAUAAUCUAAAUGCCAAACUAUAAUUUUUAUAGCAUUUUAUGGUGUAUAUUUUGCUAUGUCAUAAAUAAUUCC
rnacentral:lncRNA from 1 species